rnacentral:rRNA from 1 species
GAUGAACGCUGGCGGCGUGCCUAACACAUGCAAGUCGAACGGACGGACGAUAAGCUUGUGUCGUUGAUGUUAGCGGAGGGCGGGUGAGUAACACGUGUAUCACCUACUUAUAUGUCGGGGAUAAUUACGGAAAACCGGAUAUAAUACCGGAUAAUAUUUUGAACCGCAUGGUGCGAUAGUAAAAGACGGUCUUGCUGUCUGUUCUAGCUGGUUCCGCGCUGCAUUAGCUAGUUGGUAGGGUAACGGCCUACCAAGGGAACGAUGCAUAGCCGAGGUGAGAGGGGGAUCGGCCACACUGGAACGGAGACACGGUCCAGACUCCUAAGGGAGGCAGCAGUAGGGAAUGUUCGGCAAUGGUCGAAAGCCUGACGGAGCAAGGGCGCGUGAGUGAUAAAGGCCUUCGGAUCGUAAAGCCCUGUUAUUGGGUAAGAACAGAUGUGGCAGGAGACGUGGCGAUAGUGACGGUACCUAAUCAGAAAGCACCGGCUAACUACGUG